ensembl:snRNA U6 U6 spliceosomal RNA
GUGUUCACUUCAGAAGCACAUAUAUGAAAAUUGGAACCAUACAGGUAAGAGUAGCAUGGCCCACAUGCAAGGUUGACAUACAAACUCACGGGAAGUUCUGUAUUUUU